rnacentral:misc_RNA from 1 species
GAAAUGCGAUAAUUAAUGUGAAUUGCAGAAUUCAGUGAAUCAUCGAGUCUUUGAACGCACAUUGCGCCCCAUGGUAUUCCGUGGGGCAUGCCUGUUUGAGCGUCAGCAAAACCCAUCAAGCCCGGCUUUCGUAAGUCAGGCUUGGACCGUGUCAGGGAAGCGGAUGGUUCCAUUCACCCGCCCUCUGGAAAGCCAUAGAUGGUCAGGUCGUUGCCUUAUGCCGAACGUGAUAGUGACUUAUUCGUUCCCACGAGGACUUCUUGACUGUCGUCAGACCCACAGUUUUAAUGCUGAUUGACUUGACCUCAGAUCAGGUAGGGAUACCCGCUGAACUUAA